rnacentral:rRNA from 1 species
UACGUAGGGUGCAAGCGUUGUCCGGAAUUAUUGGGCGUAAAGAGCUUGUAGGUGGCUCGUUGCGUCGGGAGUGAAAACCUGCGGCUUAACCGCAGGCCUGCUUCCGAUACGGGCGAGCUAGAGUUCGGCAGGGGAGACUGGAAUUCCUGGUGUAGCGGUGGAAUGCGCAGAUAUCAGGAGGAACACCGGUGGCGAAGGCGGGCCUCUGGGCCGAUACUGACACUGAGAAGCGAAAGCGUGGGGAGCGAACAGG